UACGAAGGGGGCUAGCGUUGUUCGGAAUUACUGGGGCGUAAAGGGCGCGUAGGCGGUGCCUCAAGUCAGGCGUGAAAGCCCCGGGCUCAACCUGGGAACCGCGCUUGAGACUGGAGUACUAGAGUUCGGGAGAGGAUGGUGGAAUUCCCAGUGUAGAGGUGAAAUUCGUAGAUAUUGGGAAGAACACCGAUGGCGAAGGCAGCCAUCUGGACCGACAC
rnacentral:rRNA from 1 species